ACAGCAAACGCACUCUGUCCCAAAACCUCGCCAUGUUUUGUGGCAAUUUCUUCGUUUGCGAGAGGGAUGUACCCAGAGAUCUCGUCCGCGAGGGAGGCUUGCGCUCUGAUCUCGUGGAGGAUUUUUUGGAAACAUUUG
rnacentral:snoRNA from 1 species